UGGGGAGCCUGAGAGGCGGAGGAAGAUACUCCAGCUGAAGCAGUGUCAACACCUCCUCUAAAAGCGAGCCCACCGUAGUGAACUGGUGGCCCUGACGGAGUGCAGAAGCAGGCUGCAUGCAUCUCCUUGUGAUGGAGCUGGCAGAGAAAAUCGGACACUGGGACAAACAACCAUAAAUCAGGACUGUCCUGAUUAAAUCAGGCAUGGCUGGCAAGAUUCAGAGUCGGCUGCAGUUGAGAAGUCUGAAGUGGCCCUGUUGUUCCAGGCAGCCUAUCAGCUGUGUGCCUGAGGAGAGCCAGGCAAAGGCUUGCUUGUCCAUGGUUUUGUGAACAGAAGUGGAACACUAUGAUACAAAUACAAAAAUCCUGACUGUGAGCAUGUAA